rnacentral:rRNA from 1 species
UUGACCUCAAAUCGGGUGAGACUACCCGCUGAACUUAAGCAUAUCAUAAGCGGAGGAAAGAAACUAACAAGGAUCCCUAGUAACUGCGAGU